GAGCCGUAUGCGGUGAGAGUCGCACGUACGGUAAGGAGGGGGGUUCGCGUCUAUACCUGUAGUGUGGUGGUUGGGCCUACCCACCCUAU
rfam:Triticum aestivum genome assembly, contig: Triticum_aestivum_CS42_TGACv1_scaffold_154895_2BS